UUUAGCAUAUGUCUGUAUACCGGAGGUAAAGAGCACUAUGUCUAUUUUUGCCAAUAUUGGGAUGAUACUGUAGUUAUACUGCACUUUUGUUAUUCUACACAUAAGUGUAUGACACUAUGUCCCUUAAAAAAUAAUAAACAUAAGCACUUUAUAAAAAGUAUCACGUCACAUUUUACUUAGAGGCUAAGGGUACCAAUGUGUAUAGGGCACCUACCUCUGAAUGCAUUGCUAACGUUACAGUGCAAUCUGGAGACAGUGCCUUGCAUCAUAUAUUGUAGACUAAAUUGUGUUUACUUUUUGCAAUUUUGUUUAGUUAUAUACAGUAAAUAAGUGAUUAUAAUAAGGAAAUAAAUACAACUGAUUAUGGAGUACAAAGAACAUUCUCGUAUUUAAUGAUGCAUUUAACAAACAAUAUAUAUUUCCUUAAAAUUACCUGGUCACUUGUGACAUUUUGAUUCGUUUAUUGCUAGGCUAAAUAAAGAACUAAACCCAGUGCAAAGAAAUAACCUAACAGUUAAUAAAGAGGCGCAUAUUGAAGGGUCAAAGAAAAGAUAUGAUUUAAAAAAUCGAGCUUUCCAAGGUUAUUCCUACAUAUUAAAGUUUUGACUUGUGAUCUCCAUAGAUGCUUACCUACAUACACCUUUGAUUACAAGCAGUGUCAGCUUUUAUAAGACGAAAUUAUGGAAUUUUAACUUUACGAUUUCUUCAACUCUUCAAUACACUGCAAGAUGGGGGAUGAAAGUAAAGCAGCUCGUGGUGGAAAAGAAAUGGCUUCUUGUGUAAUACUUGACUAUACCAUUUAACAAAUAACAAUAUGAAUGGACAACUGUUAUGGUUAAAAUAAGAAUAUGUUUAUUCUGAUUGCAUAUUUCUAGAUUUUUAAGACAUUCCCACAGAUUCAGCAAAUAAAUCACAAGUUUUCGUUGAAGGGCCAUACGGAAGCAGACACUGUUCAUGGUCACAUUGAACAGAAAAAGAUACCAAACAUAACAAUACUAACUCCUUGGGACUGGCAACAACUUGUGCGCUAAAUAUCUACUAAAUCCACUGUACAAAAUAUGGAAUGUGGAGACUUCAAUCAAUUCAACUCAUUGUCUAUCAGAAAAGAAGCUUCUUUUGUUUUAAGACACUGAAAAAUAACCUGUUUUAUUGUCUACCUGUGUCAAUCUUCAAGUUGGUUUGAGGCUAUAUGAAAACUGUUUCUUAAAACCUCUUUUGAUAAUAAUAAUUUCAAAAAACUUGAUAUGAUACUCAUUUCGAAAAAGUGAAAAAUUUACAAGGCCAGUUUUACUGCCUGUUACUAAUGACUCAUGACGAAUUUCUUGCCAAAAAUUGGAUGACUUGUCACUGUCACCAUAUUUAUCUUCAAUCAAUCAAUCAAUCAAUCAAUAUUCUUUAUUUCAUCUGACUUUUACAAGUAUUGAAAUGCGUCAAAUACAAUACAAUCAGUAAAAACUGUAAGUACAUAAAAACAGUUAACAUAAAAACAGGUAAAAUAUACACAAAAGCAUACAAAUUGUUAAAAAGAUGCCUGCAAGUAUUCCUCUAACGAAUAGAAAGUGUUUACCAGAAUGAUUACCCAGAAGAUGAUGAUGACGAAGUUUUUGAUGCAUGACAGAUAUACAAAAUUUUGUUUUUUUAAAUGUAAACAAAUAUUAAGUUUUACACUUUACGCCACAAUGUGAAGGUAAAAUAAAUCAAAGUUUAACA
rnacentral:lncRNA from 1 species